ensembl:lncRNA
AUCUUCCUGGAGAUUCCUGUAUAUCUGAGGUCUUCUUAAGGAGGCAUUGCUAUGGACAUCUGGCAGAUCUGUGUGUCCUGGGAAGAGGAAGAGAGAAAUCCUUUUGGCUGGAGGUCAUUGUGCCACGUGGGACUGGUUCUGUCAAAGAAAAGACUGAUUGGAUAAAUGCUGCAGGGAAGAAAUUACUUCUGCUUCUAGAAAUGAGGAAGAGUAAAAACAUUGUCCAGCACUGAUAACAGAGCCCUUGGGGAAGUACCAAGAUGCCUGUAAACAUGAGUUGGGGAGUGCAAGCAGAUGAACUAGUGGGGGAAGGCCACCAUGGAUGCCAUCAAAAACAAGUCAGCGUGUCACCAAAGUGGUAAAACAAAUACUGCAGUGUCCAAGCACUGCAAGACAAAACAAGCAUCAAAGCUUCACAGAAAGAGACAAGCAUGCUCAAGGCAGAAGCUUCAUUAGUAUGACAGGCAUAACUGGACUACAGAGAAUUGAAGGGAUGCUAAAUGCCAGGGAUAGAGCCUGCAGCCCACUGUGGUAGAGAUGUGCAUUUCUGGGGUUGUACUGGUUCUGACUCCCUGAAGCUGUACUGCAGCCUCAGAUGCCAGGUUAGACUAGUGAUUAGUAGUGGGGAAGGGAAAAGCUUCAGCAAGCUGUUGGAAGCCUGUGACCUGUCUCACUGAGCUAAAACAAAGUGUUGCAACUUCCCCGAGUAAUCACCAUCAACAGGUUGGAUACUUCACAUGUAAGAGUGGCAAAUCUGACCUGAGGAUGAGUGGCAAAGCAAAGGUGACUGAUGGGAAAGGCCUUUCCUAGCGUGGCCAGGAGGUCCAAGAGCCCCAGAAUAAACAGGAGCCAUUAAUCUUGACAGUCACAAGUCACUGGGAUCAUGAGUAUUGAAAGACUUUCCUGUUUUCAAAUGGAAUUUAUAUUGGAAAUGUAAAAUAUGACGAAGUAUUCUUAUACGUAGAGAAACUGACAUUCAGCAAUCGAUGUGAAACUGUUCAUAGCACAGAGCUUUCUCAUGACAAUACCAACUGGAAAGUAAGACUUGUGUAUAUUAUGAUGUUUACAUUGGGAAUUAAUAUAGAACGCAGAGCCCUUGCUUCUACAAAAUCCUUUUCCUGACUGUAAGUGUAUUUUAAGCCAUCCACAGGAUGUUGCAGUGCAUUUAUGAAAUUGAAAAGUGAGCCCCCGCAGACAGCAGCACUGCGCUGGGCACCUCAGUUUGUGUCAUCAUUAUUAUGAUGAGAUUUAGAAGUGGAGCAGUUGCUUAUGAGAUUACUGAGGGUUCACAACCAAAACCCU